AUUGAACGCUGGCGGCAGGCCUAACACAUGCAAGUCGAACGGUAACAGGAAGAAGCUUGCUUCUUUGCUGACGAGUGGCGGACGGGUGAGUCAUGUCUGGGAAACUGCCUGAUGGAGGGGGAUAACUACUGGAAACGGUAGCUAAUACCGCAUAACGUCGCAAGACCAAAGAGGGGGACCUUCGGGCCUCUUGCCAUCGGAUGUGCGCAGAUGGGAUGAGCUAGUAGGUGGGGUAACGGCUCACCGAGGCGACGAUCCCUAGCUGGUCUGAGAGGAUGACCAGCCACACUGGAACUGAGACUCGGUCCAGACUCCUACGGGAGGCAGCAGUGGGGAAUAUUGCGCAAUGGGGGAGAGCCUGAUGCAGCAAUGCCGCGUGUAUGAAGAAGGACUUCGGGUUGUAAAGUGCUUUCAGCGGGGAGGAAGGAAGGAAAGUUUAUACCUGAGCUCAUUGACGGUACCCGGAGAAGAAGCACCGGCUAACUCCGUG
rnacentral:rRNA from 1 species